GCAGUCGACGCUUUGUGGUUCACUGAUUUGAAGAGCUUGCUCAGAUAUGACGAUGGACAUUGCAAAGAGUGGCGAACGGGUGAGUAACACGUGGGAAACCUACCUCUUAGCAGGGGAUAACAUUUGGAAACAGAUGCUAAUACCGUAUAACAAUAGCAACCGCAUGGUUGCUACUUAAAAGAUGGUUCUGCUAUCACUAAGAGAUGGUCCCGCGGUGCAUUAGUUAGUUGGUGAGGUAAUGGCUCACCAAGACGAUGAUGCAUAGCCGAGUUGAGAGACUGAUCGGCCACAAUGGGACUGAGACACGGCCCAUACUCCUACGGGAGGCAGCAGUAGGGAAUCUUCCACAAUGGGCGAAAGCCUGAUGGAGCAACGCCGCGUGUGUGAUGAAGGGUUUCGGCUCGUAAAACACUGUUGUAAGAGAAGAAUGACAUUGAGAGUAACUGUUCAAUGUGUGACGGUAUCUUACCAGAAAGGAACGGCUAACUACGUGC
rnacentral:rRNA from 1 species